rnacentral:rRNA from 1 species
GAUGAACGCUGGCGGCGCGCCUAACACAUGCAAGUCGAACGAUUAAAGCACCUUCGGGUGUGUAUAAAGUGGCGAACGGCUGAGUAACACGUGGGCAACCUGCCCCUUUCAUUGGGAUAGCCACGGACAACCGUGGAUAAUACCGAAUACUUCGAGACUUCCGCAUGGAAGACCCGAGAAAGCUCCGGCGGGGAGGGAUGGGCCCGCGGCCUGUCGGCUUGUUGGUGGGGUAACGGCCUACCAAGGCAAUGCUUGGUAGCUGGGUUGAGAGACCGAACAGCCAGCAUGGGACUGCGACACGGCGCAGUCUCCUAUGGUGGGCAGCAGUGGGGAGCCUUACACAGUGGGCGAGCGUCUGAUGCGGAGGCGCUGCGUUCGUGAUGAACGCCUUCGGGUUGUGAACCGCUUUCAGCAGGGACGAGGCGAAAGUGACGGUACCUGCAGAAGAAGCCCCGGCUAACUACGUG